AGUGAACGCUGGCGGUAGGCCUAACACAUGCAAGUCGAACGGCAGCACAGUAAGAGCUUGCUCUUACGGGUGGCGAGUGGCGGACGGGUGAGGAAUACAUCGGAAUCUACUUUUUCGAGGGGGAUAACGUAGGGAAACUUACGCUAAUACCGCAUACGACCUACGGGUGAAAGCAGGGGAUCUUCGGACCUUGCGCGAUUGAAUGAGCCGAUGUCGGAUUAGCUAGUUGGCGGGGUAAAGGCCCACCAAGGCGACGAUCCGUAGCUGGUCUGAGAGGAUGAUCAGCCACACUGGAACUGAAACACGGUCCAGACUCCUACGGGAGGCAGCAGUGGGGAAUAUUGGACAAUGGGCGCAAGCCUGAUCCAGCCAUACCGCGUGGGUGAAGAAGGCCUUCGGGUUGUAAAGCCCUUUUGUUGGGAAAGAAAAGCAGCAGGUUAAUACCCCGCUGUUCUGACGGUACCCAAAGAAUAAGCACCGGCUAACUUCGUG
rnacentral:rRNA from 1 species